rnacentral:rRNA from 1 species
ACCCUUUAAUGUUUGAUGUUCUAACGUGGACCCGUGAUCCGGGUUGCGGACAGUGUCUGGUGGGUAGUUUGACUGGGGCGGUCUCCUCCUAAAGAGUAACGGAGGAGCACGAAGGUUGGCUAAUCCUGGUCGGACAUCAGGAGGUUAGUGCAAUGGCAUAAGCCAGCUUGACUGCGAGCGUGACGGCGCGAGCAGGUGCGAAAGCAGGUCAUAGUGAUCCGGUGGUUCUGAAUGGAAGGGCCAUCGCUCAACGGAUAAAAGGUACUCCGGGGAUAACAGGCUGAUACCGCCCAAGAGUUCAUAUCGACGGCGGUGUUUGGCACCUCGAUGUCGGCUCAUCACAUCCUGGGGCUGAAGUAGGUCCCAAGGGUAUGGCUGUUCGCCAUUUAAAGUGGUACGCGAGCUGGGUUUAGAACGUCGUGAGACAGUUCGGUCCCUAUCUGCCGUGGGCGCUGGAGAACUGAGGGGGGCUGCUCCUAGUACGAGAGGACCGGAGUGGACGCAUCACUGGUGUUCGGGUUGUCAUGCCAAUGGCACUGCCCGGUAGCUAAAUGCGGAAGAGAUAAGUGCUGAAAGCAUCUAAGCACGAAACUUGCCCCGAGAUGAGUUCUCCCUGAGACUUAAAGUCUCCUGAAGGAACGUUGAAGACGACGACGUUGAUAGG